UUAAAUUGAAGAGUUUGAUCAUGGCUCAGAUUGAACGCUGGCGGCAGGCCUAACACAUGCAAGUCGAACGGUAACAGGAAGCAGCUUGCUGCUUUGCUGACGAGUGGCGGACGGGUGAGUAAUGUCUGGGAAACUGCCUGAUGGAGGGGGAUAACUACUGGAAACGGUGGCUAAUACCGCAUAACGUCGCAAGACCAAAGAGGGGGACCUUCGGGCCUCUUGCCAUCAGAUGUGCCCAGAUGGGAUUAGCUUGUUGGUGAGGUAACGGCUCACCAAGGCGACGAUCCCUAGCUGGUCUGAGAGGAUGACCAGCCACACUGGAACUGAGACACGGUCCAGACUCCUACGGGAGGCAGCAGUGGGGAAUAUUGCACAAUGGGCGCAAGCCUGAUGCAGCCAUGCCGCGUGUAUGAAGAAGGCCUUCGGGUUGUAAAGUACUUUCAGCGGGGAGGAAGGUGUUGUGGUUAAUAACCGCAGCAAUUGACGUUACCCGCAGAAGAAGCACCGGCUAACUCCGUGCCAGCAGCCGCGGUAAUACGGAGGGUGCAAGCGUUAAUCGGAAUUACUGGGCGUAAAGCGCACGCAGGCGGUCUGUCAAGUCGGAUGUGAAAUCCCCGGGCUCAACCUGGGAACUGCAUUCGAAACUGGCAGGCUUGAGUCUUGUAGAGGGGGGUAGAAUUCCAGGUGUAGCGGUGAAAUGCGUAGAGAUCUGGAGGAAUACCGGUGGCGAAGGCGGCCCCCUGGACAAAGACUGACGCUCAGGUGCGAAAGCGUGGGGAGCAAACAGGAUUAGAUACCCUGGUAGUCCACGCCGUAAACGAUGUCUACUUGGAGGUUGUGCCCUUGAGGCGUGGCUUCCGGAGCUAACGCGUUAAGUAGACCGCCUGGGGAGUACGGCCGCAAGGUUAAAACUCAAAUGAAUUGACGGGGGCCCGCACAAGCGGUGGAGCAUGUGGUUUAAUUCGAUGCAACGCGAAGAACCUUACCUGGUCUUGACAUCCACGGAAGAAUUCAGAGAUGGAUUUGUGCCUUCGGGAACCGUGAGACAGGUGCUGCAUGGCUGUCGUCAGCUCGUGUUGUGAAAUGUUGGGUUAAGUCCCGCAACGAGCGCAACCCUUAUCCUUUGUUGCCAGCGGUCCGGCCGGGAACUCAAAGGAGACUGCCAGUGAUAAACUGGAGGAAGGUGGGGAUGACGUCAAGUCAUCAUGGCCCUUACGACCAGGGCUACACACGUGCUACAAUGGCGCAUACAAAGAGAAGCGACCUCGCGAGAGCAAGCGGACCUCAUAAAGUGCGUCGUAGUCCGGAUUGGAGUCUGCAACUCGACUCCAUGAAGUCGGAAUCGCUAGUAAUCGUGGAUCAGAAUGCCACGGUGAAUACGUUCCCGGGCCUUGUACACACCGCCCGUCACACCAUGGGAGUGGGUUGCAAAAGAAGUAGGUAGCUUAACCUUCGGGAGGGCGCUUACCACUUUGUGAUUCAUGACUGGGGUGAAGUCGUAACAAGGUAACCGUAGGGGAACCUGCGGUUGGAUCACCUCCUUACCUGAAAGAA
rnacentral:rRNA from 2 species